CUCUCUGUAGCUCAGUUGGUUACAGCACUGCACCAGAAUCGCAGGGUCGAUUCCUGCCAGAGGGA